rnacentral:rRNA from 1 species
GUGGGGAAUAUUGGACAAUGGGCGCAAGCCUGAUCCAGCCAUACCGCGUGGGUGAAGAAGGCCUUCGGGUUGUAAAGCCCUUUUGUUGGGAAAGAAAUCCUGUCGGUUAAUACUUGGCGGGGAUGACGGUACCCAAAGAAUAAGCACCGGCUAACUUCGUGCCAGCAGCCGCGGUAAUACGAAGGGUGCAAGCGUUACUCGGAAUUACUGGGCGUAAAGCGUGCGUAGGUGGUGGUUUAAGUCCGUUGUGAAAGCCCUGGGCUCAACCUGGGAAUUGCAGUGGAUACUGGAUCACUAGAGUGUGGUAGAGGGAUGCGGAAUUUCUGGUGUAGCAGUGAAAUGCGUAGAGAUCAGAAGGAACAUCCGUGGCGAAGGCGGCAUCCUGGGCCAACACUGACACUGAGGCACGAAAGCGUGGGGAGCAAACAGGAUUAGAAACCCUGGUAGUCC